rnacentral:tRNA from 1 species
UGGCUCAGUUGGUAGAGCAUGGCGCUUGCAAAGCCAAUGUUGUUGGUUCGAUUCCCAU